CAGAAGGAUCUUUUUGUGUGUGAGAGAUAGUUAUUAGGUCAUUGUUCCAUGAUGGAUAGUUCAGGAUGUUGCAUUCCAGGCUUAUCUGUUAACGGUCCUAGGUGCUGCCUGACCCUAAGGGGAGUGAGGAAGAAUAAGAGAGAGAACACAUUUCACCCCCAUUUGUCGACCUACACCAUUAAGGCAGUACAGAGAGACACACUAACACACAGUACAGAGAAAGGAAAUAGAGAGUGUGUUCAACUGAAAGCGUGUGGUGGCCAUACGCCAUAAAAUACCACAUAUCCAAGGAAUACAGGUAGAGCUCUGUUGAGUUUUCAGGCUUUGAUAAAUUUGUAGCUCCCCGUCUGCCAUGUUUGAAUUUCUUUGUAGUCUCUGUCCAUAGGUUUCACCUGAACAACCCCUCUGCUGGACGAGAAAAGGAACUACCACUGGUUUCUCCCACACCCAGCCCCCGGAGCACGCUCGCUUCAAGGCGUUAUGGCCGCACCCAAAAUGGGAGGGAGACACGCAGAGAGAGAGAGAAGCCACAUUCCACCCUUAUCUGUUGUCUUGCACCAAACAGCACCCCGUACUGAGGAGGGAGAGAGAGCGUGUUCUUCUGAAGGAGGGAGAGAGUCACAGGGAGACACGCGAUGGGUAGAAGCAGUCCCAUCAGAAGACCAAAGUGCGGCUACGGUAAUCAAGGUUCUGACUAGAGAAGUCAUGCCAAGGUUUGGAAUUCCGUCACAAAUUAGCUCAGGCGAUAGGGCAGUGUUUAUUCAGAAAACACUCAAACGAGUGAUUUAACAUCUGCAUGUCAAACAAAGACUAGUCUGUGUCUACAAUCCUCAAACCACAAGGUAUGGUGGAGAGAGGAAUGGGACGCUUCAGACAAAGAUUAACAAAAUUAAAUUAGAGUUCUAAAUUAAAGGACUAAUGCACUACGACUGACACUAAUGAGUUAUCGCAUGAAAACUAACAGAACGACACAUCUAACCCCGCAUGAAAUGCUUAAGGGUCGACCCAUGCCUUCACUUAACAUUCGAGGGUCCCAAAAGGGACUUCCAUUAGAGUAAUUAGAAAUAGAAUUAAGGAAAAUAUGUUUGAACAUCUAACUGUUGUACAUAAGUUUGUAAUUCCAGCAAGAGAAACACAAAGUUCCAGGGCCGGAGGAGGAGCCAGAUGCAGACACGCCCGGAGCCGACGAACUACCCAAGAAUGAUGCAAUCAAAUUUCGUACGGAUGGGUCGGUGGCCAGGGCGCUGGCAGGGUUACAGUCCCUCAGAUUAGAGUUGGCAGAGAGCUCCGGCAUUAAUGACCCCUUCACAGGAUGGAUGGAGAGCCCAAUGAGCGAUGGGUGCUACAGGUGCAGCAGGUGCCAUCCAAGCUUACCUGGGGAUCGAGUAUACACCGGAGAGUUUGGACGAGGGACCACCAGAGGGGCCCGACCUGAUCUGGCUGGAGAACAUAGAAUAGAC
ensembl:lncRNA